GCCAGCGUGGCUUAGAUGCAGAGCGUCGCUCUCGUAAAGCGAAGGUCGCAGGUUCGAUUCCUGCGGUCGGCA
rfam:Pristionchus pacificus strain PS312 contig4647, whole genome shotgun sequence.